AAAAUUGAAAAUGUCUCCGGAAAGUCAACGUAAAGGAUGGUUGCCAUAUCCAUGGUGGUGAAAAGGAUUUACACAUGAAGAACGAUGAAGGGAGAAAGGAGGAGGGGAUGGCGCUGCUCUAUCUAAAGGGCUCCUAUCGGCCAAGGAUGAGUGUGCUCCUGCUCCUUGCUCUCCAUGACUGUUAACUUCAUUAUUCUCCAUCAAUACAUCCCAGCAGGAAGUAAAACUACUUCUAUACUUGUAAUAAAUACAAAGAAGAGAGAAUGUCACCACUAAAUAUCAAGUUCCAGGUAUGUGAGAUUUUACGGAGAUUUUAUUUUUUACAAGUCAAUAAAUUUUACAACUUAUAAAUAUUAAUGUUAGUUGCCUUUGCUUGUGUUAAAAGCUUGACCUAAGUGGACGACAAUGAUAAAACUAAAGAAUAUUUGCCAUCUUGUAAACGAGAGAACCAAAUAUAAAUGAGGCUUGACCCUCAAAGCCAGGAAUCUGACAGGGAAUCCUCUGUCAGAUGUUUGAUAUACUGUAUACUCUUCUAUCAUCUCAAAAACUAUUUGGGAGAAAAGGGAAGGGCAAAUAUGAAAGAGA